GACGAACGCUGGCGGCGUGCUUAACACAUGCAAGUCGAACGGAAAGGCCCCUUUGGGGGUACUCGAGUGGCGCACGGGUGAGUAACACGUGAGUAACCUGCCCUUGACUUCGGGAUAACUUCAGGAAACUGGGGCUAAUACCGGAUAGGAAUCCUUGCUGCAUGGUGGGGGUUGGAAAGCUUCGGCGGUUUUGGAUGGACUCGCGGCUUAUCAGCUUGUUGGUGGGGUAGUGGCUUACCAAGGCUUUGACGGGUAGCCGGCCUGAGAGGGCGACCGGCCACAUUGGGACUGAGAUACGGCCCAGACUCCUACGGGAGGCAGCAGUGGGGAAGAUUGCACAAUGGGCGGAAGCCUGAUGCAGCAACGCCGCGUGCGGGAUGACGGCCUUCGGGUUGUAAACCGCUUUCAGCAGGGGCGAAGCUUGUGGUGACGGUACCUGCAGAAGAAGCACCGGCUAACUACGUG
rnacentral:rRNA from 1 species